rnacentral:rRNA from 1 species
GACGAACGCUGGCGGCGUGCUUAACACAUGCAAGUCGAACGGAAAGGCCCUGCUUUUGUGGGGUGCUCGAGUGGCGAACGGGUGAGUAACACGUGAGUAACCUGCCCUUGACUUUGGGAUAACUUCAGGAAACUGGGGCUAAUACCGGAUAGGAGCUCCUGCUGCAUGGUGGGGGUUGGAAAGUUUCGGCGGGUGGGGAUGGACUCGCGGCUUAUCAGCUUGUUGGUGGGGUAGUGGCUUACCAAGGCUUUGACGGGUAGCCGGCCUGGGAGGGUGGACGGCCACCAUGGGGCUGGGGUACGGCCCAGGCUCCUACGGGGGGCAACGGGGGGGAAUAUUGCACAAUGGGCGGAAGCCUGAUGCAGCAACGCCGCGUGCGGGAUGACGGCCUUCGGGUUGUAAACCGCUUUCGCCUGUGACGAAGCGUGAGUGACGGUAAUGGGUAAAGAAGCACCGGCUAACUACGUG